CUCUUACCUAGAAGUUUACCUGGGAUGAAAGUGAAGCAAAAGAAUUUAUCAUGGAUAAGAUUCCUGUGGUGUGAUUAGAAUAUUGACCAGCCUGGAUACAAGCUCACAGACAGAUUUGACUGUUGUGAUGUUCCCAGCUCCUCGCAACCUCCUGCUUUACCCUCCCCCACAGCUGGAGUUUGGAAACUGAGGGAAGAAAAUGACGGCAUGAAGACUGACAGACAAGCUAGCCAGUGGAGGACACCCAUCGCAUUUAGUGCAGGGGAUGGAUUUCACUUGGUAAACAGCUAUUCAAGUGUCUCUGAAAAGAAAGGAUUUACAAACAAGAGCAGCACAAAAGCUUCAAUCAACUCCCACUGUCAAUGGUGCUCCAUCCAGAGAACAUCACCUGCUACUGAUUUACAGUUUUAAGUGAGUCAAGGUAUUGAGGCUAGAAGAACUGGAAGGGGGAUAGUUAAACUCUAUGCGAAGUUUGGAAAACAGUGUAAUGUAUCCAACCAAUUCCUACUAUCCUAAUUUAGGACACAUGUACUGCAGCUAUUAACUGGCCAACUUGGUUAAGCCACUGUAAAUCUUAAUUCCUAUCUGAGACAACACCCUUCACUAAACCCAACAAAAGUUUUCUUUUGUGUUUGUUUAGCCAUGGAUUGUCCGUUCAUGUGCCCGUCAUGGAGUCACCAGGGCGAUGCUCUGGAACUACUCCCUAUGAAGCUAGUCAGGACUCUGGGGGAGCCUCCUCUCUCUGAGCAUACUGUCUCCAGGGGCAAGAAGUUUACACAGCUUCCAUCUUCCUGGGUCUGACCUUGGAGCAUUCAGCAUCCCCUUCCACACCGUGUGCUUCCUGUAGCACGUCCGCCCGGGCAGGGCUCCUGGGGAAGCCAGAGGGCCCUGUACCCCAACUCCGCAGUCAGAUGUGACUCUCAGCCAGCCGGUAAAACAAAAGGUUUAUUAGUCAACAGGCAUACAGCAUAGGGCAGAACUUGUUAGCACAGAAAUCAAUGACUUUCAGCCAAGUCCAUCUUGGGGGGAGGGGAGCCCAGAGCCAAGGCUCUGGCCCUCAUCCUGUGCCCCAAGCCAGCUGAGACUGACUCACUGCCAGCUGCCUGGUCCCUGCCCUUCCCGUUGCUCCUCCUCCGGCCUUUGUCUCGCUUCCCGGGCCAGAGUCACCUGGUCCCAUCCCUCUCCUGGGUCUCAGGUUACGAAGGGGCAGCCAUAGCAUCCAUACAGGCAGUUGGAGAAGCCUCCAUAAAAGUCUCACACAGCAUCCAUGCAAAACAGCAAGACACACACAACAUAAUAAGGGGAAACCCCACUUCGUCACAGUGCCAUGCAAAUUGGCUGGGAAAAUACCUCUAUAUAAAUGUAUUAUAUAAAAAUAUAAAUUUACUCUAAAGAAAUCCUUUUUUAUUAGGCAGCUUUUCCAGUUCUGUGAUCAACUUUUUCUUUUCCUUCAACUGAGGCCUGUAUUUAUUCUUUUUAAGUACAAUAAUUGAAUUAAAAAUCUGAUCAGCACCUAUUUGAUGUUGAAAUUAUUUUUUAAAUAUAACAGUAUUGCUAAAGGAACUUAAUAUAAUAAAGGACGAUCUUAUUAUCUGAAAACUUUCCACUAAGAGGAUUUGGCAUCUAAAAAGUGAGUUGCUGAAAUUGUGCUCUAAACUCAUAAACACCACUUAUACUGGGUCUGAAAGUUAUUCCAAAUGUGGCUGAGAAGAUUCAUCUGGAUAUUAAAAAUAGAA